rnacentral:rRNA from 1 species
AGAGUUUGAUCAUGGCUCAGAACGAACGCUGGCGGCAGGCCUAACACAUGCAAGUCGAGCGCCCGCAAGGGAGCGGCAGACGGGUGAGUAACGCGUGGGAACGUGCCCUUUGGUUCGGAAUAUUCCCGGGAAACUGGGAGCAAAACCGGAUAAGCCCUUCGGGGGGAAGUUUACGCCAAAGGAUCGGCCCGCGUUAGAUUAGGUAGUUGGUGGGGUAACGGCCUACCAAGCCUACGAUCUAUAGCUGAUCUGAGAGGAUGAUCAGCCACACUGGGACUGAGACACGGCCCAGACUCCUACGGGAGGCAGCAGUGGGGAAUCUUGGACAAUGGGCGCAAGCCUGAUCCAGCCAUGCCGCGUGGAUGACUGAAGGCCCUAGGGUUGUAAAGUCCUUUCGACGGGGACGAUAAUGACGGUACCCGUAGAAGAAGCCCCAGCUAACUUCGUGCCAGCAGCCGCGGUAAUACGAAGGGGGCUAGCGUUGUUCGGAUUUACUGGGCGUAAAGGGCGCGUAGGCGGAUUUUUAAGUCGGGGGUGAAAUCCCGGAGCUCAACUCCGGAACUGCCUUCGAUACUGAAAGUCUGGAGCACGGUAGAGGUGAGUGGAAUUCCGAGUGUAGAGGUGAAAUUCGUAGAUAUUCGGAGGAACACCAGUGGCGAAGGCGGCUCACUGGACCGUUGCUGACGCUGAGGCGCGAAAGCGUGGGGAGCAAACAGGAUUAGAUACCCCGGUAGU